CUUGACCAAUUUGACCCUGAAACCCUUCUCUGCACAUCAUCGCUGUACACCGCCGCCUGCAAGCCACCGACAACCUGUCCCACUCCGAGUGUGUCUCGCCGUCGCAUCGCCGCCGCAAGACGCUACCACCGCCAACAAGCUGUCCUCCACCGCCUCAUUUCCUCUAUAAAUAGGAACCGACCUGCAAUAAUUCCGGCCAACAAAAAUAAUUCCAAAAAUCCAAAACCAACACCGCCCUCCACCGUGUCCCACCACUGCAACCACCGCUAGCACCACAGAAGGCCCCAAUCGUUUCUCCGCUACUUCUCCGGCGACACCCGCUUCCCAGGUCGUUUCACUUUCGAAGCUAAGGUACCAAAACGAAACCUUAUAAUUAAUUCAUGCUUGUUGUCACGACCCCCUUAAAGAACAAGUCUGACGUUAUUGUGGAUCAUCUUUUGAGGUUCACAGGAUAAUCAGGGCGGGGUGUGAAAGAGAGAAGAAUUAGCUCUAGGA
rnacentral:lncRNA from 1 species